CAGCACCACGGGAAUACGAAGGGUGCAAGCGUUAAUCGGAAUUACUGGGCGUAAAGCGUGCGUAGGCGGUGAGUUAAGUCUGCUGUGAAAUCCCCGGGCUCAACCUGGGAAUGGCAGUGGAUACUGGCUCGCUAGAGUGUGUCAGAGGAUGGUGGAAUUCCCGGUGUAGCGGUGAAAUGCGUAGAGAUCGGGAGGAACAUCAGUGGCGAAGGCGGCCAUCUGGGACAACACUGACGCUGAGGCACGAAAGCGUGGGGAGCAAACAGGAUUAGAUACCCCCGUAGUCCCUGUCUCUUAUACA
rnacentral:rRNA from 1 species